GGUGGGCGGAAAGGGCAGCGACCGCCGUGAGGUUCAGGGGGGAACCGUGCGCUGGGAGCCCGGGGUCUGAGUGGGGAAAACCUGGGCGCCUUGGGGUGAUAGAGGCGACUGGGGUAACCGGAGCUGCGGGACCAGGAGCGGACCAGCCACCGGGAGCCCUGGGCACAGAGAGGGGGCAUGGGUGGGGAGGGCUCCCCGGGAGGAGAGCGAGAGCGGCAGGGCAGGGAAGAAGGGGCAGCUGGUACCCACAGCCCAAGGGAUCUUUUCCUUUUUUCCCCCUCAGGCACGCCCCACACCGCUCCUGCCUGCACGGCCGUGGGGUGGGAUGCUGCGGAGCCUGGGCGCAUGGGACCCAGAGAGUCAGGGCUUACCGCGUGGCAACGGAGCAAAUUAACAAAGCAAAGUCAUUAGCGUCUUCUCCCCCGCCCCGGUGCGGAGGAAGCCGUGGGCAGCAAAGGACGCGGCGGCUCCAGUGCUGGCGGGAGCAGAGGGGGACAGCGGAAGGCAGCCAAGCUGCCCCGGCCCCGCUCCCAAAAUCCCGGGGAAGCCCUGCGAGGGAAGAGGCCGCGUCGGAAAGGAGAGCGGCCCUGAGAAGAAAGGUCUGGGUGGGAAACCAGAGCGAGAAGCAAGGAAGGAAGGAGCAGAAAUAGGACAGGGGGAAGGCAGCCCCUGCUCGCCCACUUUCUGAGGCUGAGCACCGCGCACACACCGGCCUCUUCCAGAGACUUUUCUUGCAGCCAUCAGGCUCUGAUGCUUUCUGACUCCCCGCUGCUGGCACCCCCAGCCCUCUCCCAGGGGACCUGCACCCCUGUCCCAGGGCCUUUCCCCAGUUGCUGCCUGGCCAAGGGAAUAAAGACCAGAGACCUCAGGCUGAAUCCCGCCUGCUUUAUCAGCCGAGACGCGGCGUCCCACAAGCUCUGGCUCGCAGAGAGCGGCGGCCCCAAGCACGCAGAUGUUGGCUGACCCCACACAAGGCCGCCCUGUUCCGUCAUCAGUCGCAUCCCUCCUCGUCCCUGCUUUUCUGUGCCACCUUCCCACAGCGCCAGCUCCCCCGGAGCGAGGUCUCGGUUUGGCCAUGGCCAUGCAGAGUGGCCUCAGCCCAGCAAAGAGCGGCUCGUUCGGAAGGGCCGCGGAUCCUGGGCGGCAAAAAAAAAAAAAAAAUCCCCCUGCAUGGGGACGCCGGGGGUUGGAGUGCUGCUCCCCACGUUGUGCCCAAGCCCACGCACCCCGAGGAUUCACCGACUCCAAGCCCAGGAAGAACUGGGCAAAAGCCACCAGCAACAUCGCCGCGGUCACCCUGCCGGUUUCGGAGCGGGGAGGCAGAGCCGUGGAGCAGGGGUAUCUGGCAUCUCUCCAAGGGGAAGCUAAUCAGACAGGUUGUGACCGCACGUCAUCCCCCCAGACACUGCCACCACAUUGAGCCAACAACCAAAACCCACAUUUAACCCCAACAAGGCACAGCAGACACCAGCCUGGGGGUUCCUGGGACACAGAGGAGACCGAGCCAUCCGCCUACGUCUGCCAGAGCCAGGUACGGUGCUUUGCACCAAACCUGAAGCAGGACGGGUCACUGAGCAGCAUUUCUGCAUGGAAAAAGCAGGAAAACAUCCCACUGCCGGAGUAGUUACCCCAGCUCUAGAGCUGCAAAGGACCUGGCAGGUGGAUCUUGUCUCUCAAGCAUGAGGGAUGUUAUUUACCUCCCACUACAGCCAGAGCAUCUACCAGGAGACCUCCAGUUCUGAGCUCUGCUCCGGGGAGGGAGGGAGGGGGACCCAAAGUCUCACCCAGGCUUGGGAGAUGCCCAUCUCUCUCCCCUGCCAAGGAGCCUGUGAGGAGCAGCUCCCCUACAGAGAUCAAUGGUUACUUAAUGACUGUACCCUUAGCUAAUUAAAAUCAAUGGUUAUUAGCUCCCAACCAUGCUUCAGUACAGGCAGGUUGUGUAAGUGCUAGUGGUGAUUUGUGAUCGGGAAGCAGUGGCUGGGACAGAAGCUCAUGUCCAAGCGUCUGUUUGUCACCCAAAACCAAGGACGAGCUUGGGAAACCACAUGCUGAACACACAUGGGCACGGGGGUUUCAUGUGAAAAGAGGGGAAGUAGCAAAAUAAAGCGAGGGAUCAGCCAGGCAAAGCAGCCUCUGGGUCUUA